UUCACCACCGUAACUAGAUCAUUUCAGUUGUGGAACUCUCAUGGAGGGGGAUACCUCCCUCUCCCCCUCACGUCUGCCACCUGUCGUCUGGAGCACCAUUUGUGGGCUGCGUUUCAAAACUGUGUAGUUCACAGAGUACGACGCCUUGUGGAUCGGCGGAGGUGAUGGAGGGCCCUGUUUGUGCUGAGGAGAAGGGAAAGGUUUUGGACGCCCUAUUUUCCCCGACAGAAUGAAUAAAGUUGAGACUCCCUGGACCAAGUGUGUAGCCCUC